UCCAGCGGGUCAAUUUUUCACGAAGUAUCUUUUAACUGCGUCCGCAUUCACAGGGGAUGGAAAAUCUUCGUCAUCCGUGGUCGUCGACGACAAAGCUUUGUCAGAGAAACCUUUUUUUGACCACGAAUGAACAUCCAUAACUGUUUAUCCGCUUGCCCCACGAUCGUUGAGGAGGAAGGAUCCUUUUCAACACCACAUCUCUUCCA
rnacentral:lncRNA from 1 species